UACGUAGGGUGCGAGCGUUAAUCGGAAUUACUGGGCGUAAAGCGUGCGCAGGCGGUGAUGUAAGACCGAUGUGAAAUCCCCGGGCUUAACCUGGGAACUGCAUUGGUGACUGCAUUGCUGGAGUAUGGCAGAGGGGGGGUGGAAUUCCACGUGUAGCAGUGAAAUGCGUAGAGAUGUGGAGGAACACCGAUGGCGAAGGCAGCCCCCUGGGCCAAUACUGACGCUCAUGCAUGAAAGCGUGGGGAGCAAACAGG
rnacentral:rRNA from 1 species